rnacentral:rRNA from 1 species
CAGCAGCCGCGGUAAUACCGGCGGCCCGAGUGGCGGUCACUAUUAUUGGGCUUAAAGCGUCCGUAGCCGGGUUGGGAAGUCCUCCGGGAAAUCUGGCCGCUUAACGGUCAGAAUGCCGGAGGAUACUCCCAGCCUAGGGAGCGGGAGAGGCCGAGGGUAUUCCCGGAGUAGGGGUGAAAUCCUAUAAUCCCGGGAGGACCACCUGUGGCGAAGGCGCUCGGCUGGAACGCGUCCGACGGUGAGGGACGAAGGCCAGGGGAGCAAACCGGAUUAGAUACCCGGGUAGUCCUGGCUGUAAACGAUGCGGACUUUGUGUCGGACAAGCUAUGAGCUUGUCCGGUGCCGGAGGGAAACCGUUAAGUCCGCCGCCUGGGGAGUACGGCCGCAAGGCUGAAACUUAAGGGAAUUGGCGGG